rnacentral:pre_miRNA from 1 species
UUUAAAGUAUAGGUAUGUCUCAUGCAAUUUUUGGGAUAUACUUAGGCUAAAA